rnacentral:rRNA from 1 species
GGGCCCGCACAAGCGGUGGAUGAUGUGGUUUAAUUCGAUGCAACGCGAAAAAACCUUACCUACCCUUGACAUGUACGGAACUUGCCAGAGAUGGCUUGGUGCUCGAAAGAGAGCCGUAACACAGGUGCUGCAUGGCUGUCGUCAGCUCGUGUCGUGAGAUGUUGGGUUAAGUCCCGCAACGAGCGCAACCCUUGUCAUUAGUUGCUACAUUUGGUUGGGCACUCUAAUGAGACUGCCGGUGACAAACCGGAGGAAGGUGGGGAUGACGUCAAGUCCUCAUGGCCCUUAUGGGUAGGGCUACACACGUCAUACAAUGGCUGGUACAAAGGGGUUUGCCCAACCCCCGCGAGGGGGAG